AGGAUAAUAGUUAAUAAUAACAUUUAAUUUGCAUUUAGAAAGUAUUGAAUUUUCAAUUUAUCUUA
rnacentral:tRNA from 1 species